UUUGCACUUUUCUUUAAAUCUUUCAUUCGAUUUAUAUCAUUUUCUUCACAGUGCAAAUCGAAGUGAAAUAACAUAUUCUGGGUUUUCUCAGCUGAAAUAGGCCAGCUAUUUGCAUCUCAAUAACCAUAAACCAAAUUAAAGCCUGAACCAAGCGGCUUACGAAUAAUUAUCACCAUGGCAGCUUCUUGGGACACUAUGUUGGUAAAACUUCUUCUGAAAGAGUUAUGCCGCAAAAAAAUGCAUUCAAAUAUGGCUUGCUACAUACGUCACAGACCAGAAGCUAUAAAAAGCUCCGUUUGAUGCAGCGUCCACAUUAGAGAGAAGCAGCGACUGUGGGCAGCCUCCUCCGUCUGGCCAAAUUACAGCAAAAAUAAAAAUAGCCUAAUUAUUUAAAAGAAUGUCCAAAAUGACGAUCGCUCAGUUUGGAGUCCUUGUGUUGGCCAUAUGUUCAUCAGCACAGAACAGUACAAGCCCCACAGGGGGGACAAACUCCACCUCCAACCCCAACGCCACCACCAUGGCACCAGACACCUACAGCAGUUCGGCCAACUCCACCACCCCUACCGGAGCAGGUGUCUCGCUGCGCGCAGGUACCUUCUCCUUCCUGAUUCCCGUCGUCAUGGCAGCCUCUCUCCUGCAGCGCUACUGUUGAAGCCCGGACCAGCCUUUUCCUCUCUGCCUCAACACUCCUCCUCACCUCCCAUCCAAUCAUCCCACCAGUCCAGCCUCACUCCUCUCUCCUUCACUGCACGGAGACCACAAGACUAAUAGAUGGACUUCACAACCUUCUUGUACUCCAGAAGUAAUGAUUAAAAAAUAUGUAAUUCAAGAUAAUUCUUUCAAUAAAGGGGGUUUAGCAUUCUGCUGGAUCAACAAGUCCCCUUCGCUCGCCCCUUGCAUGGAAUCAAAAGGAAUGGCAAUGCACCCAGCUUCCCUUUUGGCCUGCGUUUCCAUUGUCACGCCAUCACAUUUUGGAGAUGCUCAGGGCUGCGGUUGUCAUGUCACAUGUCUUGAUUGAAAUGCGGACCACUUGAGUGUACAGAGGAUCUUUUUGUGGCUUAAAAUCCACCUGGCAAUUAAUAUCAGAAUGGGUUUUGUCUGUUAAGUGAAGUUUGGCACAUACAGUAUAGGAGAUUCAAAUAAAACAUUACAUUUUUAGUUUUUUUUCUCCAUAAUUUGGCUCUUCUGUCUUUUUAUUAGAAAUGUCAAAUAGAUGUAUGCAGCAAAUCAGUUGCUGCAGGACUUGUGUCAGUUUUGCCUUGUGAUUUUUAAAGAGUCCUGGUCUUUUACAAUGAGGGUUUG